UACGUAGGGGACGAGCGUUGUCCGGAAUUACUGGGCGUAAAGGGCGCGCAGGCUGUGCUGCAAGUCAGCUGUGAAAUAUCUGGGCUUAACCUGGAUAUGCGGUUGAGACUGCAGUGCUGGAGUGCUGUAGAGGCAAGUGGAAUUCCCAGUGUAGCGGUGAAAUGCGUAGAUAUUGGGAAGAACACCGGUGGCGAAGGCGACUUGCUGGGCAGCAACUGACGCUGAGGCGCGAAAGCCAGGGGAGCAAACG
rnacentral:rRNA from 2 species